CUGUGCUUGUUUGUUUUAUUACAAUCAUUCGUAAGAAAUUUUAGAAUAUAAAUUCCAUAUUGACUUUACUUAAUAUUUCGUGCUUGCACCAUCUACCGAAUCGAAGAGACAACUUACCUGUGGUCACUUAUGUAUUUAUAGACCUAUAUAAUAAUAGUAUAAGAAUAUGAACUAUAAUAUCCAAGAAUAUCUAUUGCAAUCUCGGUAUAUAUUUAGUUGACUUCAUUGUUCAUUUCCAUCAAAUAUUGGUUAUGAAACCUUUGAUUAACGAUAAGAAACAACGACGGAAAGUGCUGCUUACAGAAUAAUUUACAUCUUCUAGCUUACUAUUUAUGAAUUUAGAAUUAAAUGAGAAGGUGAUUGGCAACACCGAUGAAACUUCCGCUAUUGAAGAUCGUAAUACCAAAAAUUAUUUGGGUUGAUUCCACCCGGGCCCGGACUUCUCGAAAAGGCCUGUAUUUCACAAAAAAUUAAGUGAAUAGUUAAAAAUUAGAAGGCUUUCGAUAGGUGAUUAAUUCGAACAUUUAUUUAAACGUUGUGAUUACCGAUAAAGGAACGUUUUCUCGCAAAAAAAAACGGUGAAGCUAUUGCCUUUGGAAGAUUGCCCUGGACAGUGCAACGAUAAUGGUAGUAUGAGCGGUAAAUAUGAAGGAGCGCAAAAUCAUAUCCAUAAUAAGUAUGCAGUUAUUUCGCCUUGUGGUGCCCACACCCUGAAUUGGCUGGAGUGUUGUCCUCGAGCAAUAACUUCUUUUGGUGUCGUUCAAAAAUGUUUCCAUAUUUUCAGUACCAGCACACCAAGUUGAGAAAUUAUCAAAUCACAAAUACCCAAUUCACUUCACUGUCUUUCUAAUACAAGGUGGUCUGCCAAAUUCGAUGCCGUCAUGCGAUUUGCGAAAAGUCUUCCCGGAUUAAUAAACGUUUUGAAAGAAGUUAAAAAACUCAACCUUACGGCAGAAACUCGUUGGGACGUUGAUGGAAUUUCGAAUGUAUGAGCAAAUUAAGGUUUGAAAUAUAGAAAGCCUUCUUGUGGAUUUGCUAUUUCUGCGCCAACAGUGAUAUGAAAGGAAACAAAUUUAACGCAGCUGCAAAAAAAUUUUACAAAAAAGUAUUCCAUUGAUUAGAUACAUCAUAAGUUGUCCAAUGAAGCUAUUCACUCAGACACGUUUACGUCUUACUCCAUACAACAUUCAAAAAUUACGGUUGUUUAGUGCUUUAGCAAGGAUAAAAGUUUUCAUCGAUCGUGCUCGUCACAGAGCAGGAUUUCAGGACUAUCUACACAGUGUCUAGAGGAAAAUUAGCUCAGAAGUUGGAUUUCCAGAUUAUUUAUCGACGCAUUCGCUGCCGCCAAAGCUUGAAAAGCUCACUUCUAAGUUACAAAUAAUUGAAAAUUUGAGGACUUUACCAUAAACUGCUUCUCCAUAAACUUAAUCAUAAUAAUCAACAGAUUUCUUCAUUAAUUCGAUCGAUAAAUAAAUGUUUGAAUGACAUGUUUCUGGCUUACUAACUGUCAAGUCUUAUGCACCAUACAUAUAUUCCGGUAUAAUCUGAAAAAAUAUUUUUGACUGAAUGUCUAAAUAUGAACUGAUUUAUACAUUAUUGAUUUUCAAAAUCGUACAAAACCAAUUUGUUCCACCAAGCAUCAACAAGAAAGCACGUUCCGGUUACUUAGACCCGACUGUCGUCGGAACGGCCCACUUUUUCUCUCAGCGGCCCUGCCACACUGAGAUGUAUUGCAAUGUUUCCGAAGGAUAUCUUCAGUAAUUUAUAAUAUAAGUAAAUUAAAACAAAAAGAAACGAUAACUUCGGGUGCACCAAAUCUAUUAUACCCUUUACAAAUACAAAAGAUCCCAUUCCAAACUUUAUUUUGAUCAAUCAGCUCGAUCGAUCGAUUGUAAGGCAGCUAUAUGCUAUAGUACCGUGAUCUGAAUUCUUCGAAGAUCGCACUGUUGCCUUGGACAAUAAUCCAUGCUAAAUUCGUCUUGUCAAAUACGAAAGUUUUCCACACAAGCACUUGAUUCCAAUCGUUCAGUUUGCGUGGCAGCUAUAUGCUAUAGCGGUCCGAUAUAGGCGUUACCGACAAAUGAGCAACUUCUUGGGAAUAAAAUGCGUGUUACAAACUUCGCGGCAAACCUAAUAUACCCUGUUCAAAGUACAAUAUAAAAACAGAAAAUACCGUAAUUAGAAUUUCGAUUAAUUUAUUCAUUGAAAUGCCUUGUAUAUAUGUAUUUUUCACAUGCAUAAGUAGAUAUUUAUUUAUUUUUGUUUUUUAUUUAAUACACAUAUAUAUUUUUAUACGCAACUAGUUGUAAUUGCAUUAAAAUUUUACGUUCACAUUCCAGUUGUAGAAAAAAAGUCAACAAUUCGCCUAACGUUUUACCAACUUUCAACAAAAUAAUAAUAUGCGAAAAUUAUUAAGAUAAAUAUUACACUUCCAAUAAUA